rnacentral:lncRNA from 1 species
UUUUUGUUUUGAGAUAGGGUCUUGUGAUGUUGCUCAGGCUGGACUCGAACUUGUGAUCCUCCUGCUAGAAUGACAGGCUGCUUUACUGUGCCCAGAAAAACACAGUUGUUGUUGUUAUUGGUGGUACUGGGGAUUGAAUGCAGGAGUGCUCUACCACUGAGUGACAUCUCCAGCCCCCUCCCCUCCUUUUUGAGAAAGGGUCUUGCUAAGUUUCCGAGGCUGGCCUCAAACUUG